rnacentral:rRNA from 1 species
AGUGAACGCUGGCGGUAGGCCUAACACAUGCAAGUCGAACGGCAGCACAGUAAGAGCUUGCUCUUACGGGUGGCGAGUGGCGGACGGGUGAGGAAUACAUCGGAAUCUACUUUUUCGUGGGGGAUAACGUAGGGAAACUUACGCUAAUACCGCAUACGACCUACGGGUGAAAGCAGGGGAUCUUCGGACCUUGCGCGAUUGAAUGAGCCGAUGUCGGAUUAGCUAGUUGGCGUGGUAAAGGCCCACCAAGGCGACGAUCCGUAGCUGGUCUGAGAGGAUGAUCAGCCACACUGGAACUGAGACACGGUCCAGACUCCUACGGGAGGCAGCAGUGGGGAAUAUUGGACAAAGGGCGCAAGCCUGAUCCAGCCAUACCGCGUGGGUGAAGAAGGCCUUCGGGUUGUAAAGCCCUUUUGUUGGGAAAGAAAAGCAGCAGGUUAAUACCCCGCUGUUCUGACGGUACCCAAAGAAUAAGCACCGGCUAACUUCGUG